UGCGGUGACCUUACGUGUGGGGAAACACCCGUUACCAUCCCGAACACGGUAGUGAAGCCCAUACGGCCGAUGGUAGUCGAAAGGCGAGAGUAGGUGAUUGCCGCGU
rnacentral:rRNA from 1 species